AGAGUUUGAUUCUGGCUCAGAACGAACGCUGGCAGCGUGGAUUAGGCAUGCAAGUCGAACGGGAAGCUUACACUUCAAUCCUUCGGGGAAGAAGAGUAAGUGGAUAGUGGCGCAAGGGUGAGGAACACGUGGGUAAUUUACCUUUAAGUUGGGGACAACCCUCCGAAAGGAGGGCUAAUACCGAAUGUGAUCUCCUGUCGCAUGGCAGGAAGAUUAAAGGCGGGGACCUUUCGAGGCCCGUCGCUUAAUGAGAAACCCGCGUCCCAUCAGCUUGUUGGUGAGGUAACGGCUCACCAAGGCUUACGGGUAGCUGGUCUGAGAGGAUGAUCAGCCACACUGGGACUGAGACACUACCCAGACUCCUACGGGAGGCUGCAGUCGAGGAUCAUUUGCAAUGCGCGAAAGCGUGACAAUGCGACGCUGCGUGAAGGAUGAAGGCCUUCGGGUCGUAAACUUUUGUCAUUCGGAAACAAAGGCAGGGAGGUUAAUACCCUUCCUGAUUGAGGGUACCGGAAGAGGAAGCCACGGCUAACUCUGUGCCAGCAGCCGCGGUAAUACAGAGGUGGCUAGCGUUGUUCGGAUUUACUGGGCGUAAAGAGUGCGUAGGUGGUUUAGUAUGUCGGAUGUGAAAGCCCAUGGCUCAACCGUGGAAGUGCAUCCGAAACUGCUAAGCUAGAGUGCAGGAUGGGAGAGCGGAAUUCUUGGUGUAGCGGUGAAAUGCGUUGAUAUCAAGAAGAACACCGGUGGCGAAGGCGGCUCUCUGGAAUGUUACUGACACUGAGGCACGAAAGUUGGGGUAGCGAACAGGAUUAGAUACCCUUGUAGUCCCAACCGUAAACGGUGUGAACUUGGUGUAGGGGGAAUUGACCCCCUCUGUGCCGGAGCUAACGCGUUAAGUUCACCGCCUGGGGAGUACGACCGCAAGGUUAAAACUCAAAGAAAUUGACGGGGGCCCGCACAAGCGGAGGAGCAUGUGGCUUAAUUCGAUGCAACGCGAAGAACCUUACCAGGGCUUGACAUGCAGCUGCAAGCCUCCCGAAAGGGAGGAAGCCUUCGAGGGUGCUGUGCAGGUGCUGCAUGGCUGUCGUCAGUUCGUGCCGUGAGGUGUUGGGUUAAGUCCCGCAACGAACGCAACCCUUAUGUUUAGUUGCCACUCCAACUUCGGUUGGAAGCACUCUAGACAGACUGCCCGUGCAAGCGGGAGGAAGGUGGGGAUGACGUCAAGUCAGUAUGGCCCCUACGCCCUGGGCUGCACACGUGCUACAAUGGCAGAUACAAAAGGACGCAAUACCGCGAGGUGGAGCAAACCCUCAAAAUCUGCCCCAGUUCGGAUUGGAGUCUGCAACUCGACUCCAUGAAGUUGGAUUCGCUAGUAACGGCGUAUCAGCAACGACGCCGUGAAUACGUUCCCGGGCCUUGUACACACCGCCCGUCACAUCAUGAAAGCCGUCUGCACUCGUAGUCGUUGAUCCAACCUGCAAAGGAGGAAGGCGCCGAAGGUGUGGGUGGUGAUCG
rnacentral:rRNA from 1 species